GCUAGCUUAGCUCAGUUGGUAGAGCAGCUCAUUCGUAAUGAGCAGGUCACAGGUUCAAGUCCUGCAGCUAGCU
rnacentral:tRNA from 1 species